CCACAGUCCCCUUUGAAGGAUAUAAUCACACCUACAGACAAGGCCAGUGCUUAUAAUCAUUGGUGUUGUCACAUAAAUAAAGUGAUUAUCUGACACAGAAAUCCUCACUGGGAAAUGGUGGCCAGAGAUGCACACGGAGGUGCUUUAAGUGACUGAUGAAAGGACAUUCUAUGCCAUCUUCAUGGUCAUUAAGGACCACUGUUUUGAAGACCACAUCAAAUGUCAUUUGUCACAAAGCAGUUAAGAGGAAAUUGAAGGCAAUCCUGGGUUUGACAAUAUUAAAAACCUGCUUAAGAGUUAAUUUAAACUUAGGUGUUGUAUUCCUCACCUGUUCAACAUUAUUCUCUGGGAACCCGGUACAAUGAAAUUAAGUUGCAAAUGUCCAAAAUGAGGUUGCAUGAAAGCUUCAUAUAAUAAAGUAGAUGCGGGUUAAGGAUAUAAGUCACUGGUUUCAAUGUGUAUGGAGAAAGCUAUAAAAAGAGGCUGUUUGAUUGUAUCAUAAGUUAGGUGAAGGAAGCCACUUGCACAUAUGUGAGGAGAUCUGGAAAGCUGGCCUGAUGAUCUAACAUAUAGUCUACAUAGUAACUAUCCUACUGCCCUGUGUGAACAUGUCAGAAGAGACCUUAAGAGUAAUUUUGGGCUUAUCUAGUAAGCAAUGAGAUACAUGUUAGUUAAUGUAAGAUGAAAAAAAAAUCAGCAAUUUUGCAAUGUAUAAUGAAGAGCCAACCCUGGCAGGCUGGCACUUUUCACUGGAUUAACCCAUCACAGUUGUCUCUUUGUGAUGCAUAGUUAAUCUUGUGAUUCAACUUUGUUUAGGAAGUAAAGAGCUCUGUUGAGUUUAAAGGUUGUUUCAAUAGUUUGGAAGUUCAGUUGCGAUAAAGCUGAAUUGAGAAAUUUUCAUCCAAUAAAUUGCUGCUAUUCUUAGACAAACACCAAAACCUAAUAUUCAGUAAUGCAUAUAAUAACGUUGCCUCGUGUAUAUAAAGGUUAUAACUGUAUGUGUAGAUCAUAUAAUGAGAGAGCAUGAUAUCUGAUCAAAUUAAUUUGAAACCAUCUCGUAUUUUGCAUGUUCUGCCUGAGGAGGUUAGCCAAUUGUAGAGAAUGGCAACUGUACUCUUGAAGGUAAGGGAUUAAUUACAUACCUCUAAGUACUGAUAGUUUUUGGGGGGUUGCUAAAGGUUAUUAUUAUUUUAUAUAUAUAUAUAUAUAUAUAACUCUGAAAGAAAUAGAUUGUGCAGAUUUCAUAUGUUUACCCAACAGAUUUUCCCCAAACACUGCAGGCAAGCACUUCUUUGAUUUCUUACUUGGCCACAAUAGAUUUUCUGGAAAUGCUACAGAGAAGCAAUCGUUGAUUUCUUACUUGGCCACAACAAAAUACUUUCAGGUAGUUUAGCUUUACCAGUUUACACUGUAUUUUCUACUUUUAUAGUUUUUCAUUGAUGUGUCUUGUCUUGUGUUAUUAAACCAAUCCACAAAAUGUAAUCGUAAAAA